AUACGUAGGUGGCAAGCGUUAUCCGGAAUUAUUGGGCGUAAAGAGGGAGCAGGCGGCAGCAAGGGUCUGUGGUGAAAGCCUGAAGCUUAACUUCAGUAAGCCAUAGAAACCAGGCAGCUAGAGUGCAGGAGAGGAUCGUGGAAUUCCAUGUGUAGCGGUGAAAUGCGUAGAUAUAUGGAGGAACACCAGUGGCGAAGGCGACGAUCUGGCCUGCAACCGACGCUCAGUCCCGAAAGCGUGGGGAGCAAAUAGGAUUAGAUACCCUAGUAGUCCACGCCGUAAACGAUGAGUACUAAGUGUUGGAUGUCAAAGUUCAGUGCUGCAGUUAACGCAAUAAGUACUCCGCCUGAGUAGUACGUUCGCAAGAAUGAAACUCAAAGGAAUUGACGGGG
rnacentral:rRNA from 1 species